UGGCUGGUGUUCUAACGUAGACCCGUGAUCCGGGUUGCGGACAGUGUCUGGUGGGUAGUUUGACUGGGGCGGUCUCCUCCCAAAGAGUAACGGAGGAGCACGAAGGUUGGCUAAUCCUGGUCGGACAUCAGGAGGUUAGUGCAAUGGCAUAAGCCAGCUUGACUGCGAGCGUGACGGCGCGAGCAGGUGCGAAAGCAGGUCAUAGUGAUCCGGUGGUUCUGAAUGGAAGGGCCAUCGCUCAACGGAUAAAAGGUACUCCGGGGAUAACAGGCUGAUACCGCCCAAGAGUUCAUAUCGACGGCGGUGUUUGGCACCUCGAUGUCGGCUCAUCACAUCCUGGGGCUGAAGUAGGUCCCAAGGGUAUGGCUGUUCGCCAUUUAAAGUGGUACGCGAGCUGGGUUUAGAACGUCGUGAGACAGUUCGGUCCCUAUCUGCCGUGGGCGCUGGAGAAUUGAGGGGGGCUGCUCCUAGUACGAGAGGACCGGAGUGGACGCAUCACUGGUGUUCGGGUUGUCAUGCCAAUGGCACUGCCCGGUAGCUAAAUGCGGAAGAGAUAAGUGCUGAAAGCAUCUAAGCACGAAACUUGCCCCGAGAUGAGUUCUCCCUGAGACUUUAAGUCUCCUGAAGGAACGUUGAAGACGACGACGUUGAUAGGUCGGGUGUGUAAGCGCAGCGAUGCGUUGAGCUAACCGAUACUAAUGAACCGUGAGGCUUAACCUUACAACGCCGAAGGUGUUU
rnacentral:rRNA from 1 species